AUAGUGGGAGAAAAAAAGUAUAGAUAGACUAUAGUUUCUGUCUGUUGAUUUACUUAAUUUUUCCCUUUUAGGAAUGAAAUUGAGGGUUUUUCAUAAAGAACAUCAUUUUGUCAGAUUUACCUGAUAAAAAAAAUGUGAACAUUUAUAUAGUAAGUGAUAAACCCCCCGACAUUUUACAAAAAUGGAUAAUCAAGAGGGAAUUGGUCAACAAAGAUGACAGGGCAGCAAAGAAACAAAAAGUGGUAACACUGGAAGUGAAAUUGGACGUCAUUAGAAGAUUUGAAAAUGGUGACAGCAUAGUGAAGACAAGAUGAGACCUAGGCUGACGUGAACCUAUAGUACGAACCAUCUUUUAAAAGUUCAGUGAAACUUUUAGGUAAAGUUGCUUCAACAUUUUUUAGUUUAAAUUGUACUAGGAACAGAAAGCCAUGUAUGGUUGAAAUGGAAUGUUUACUUCUACUUGGGACUGAGGACUCUAAUAAAAAACAAAUCCCAAUCAGUUUGGCUAGCAUUCAAGCCAAAGUGUUGAGGUUAGUUGCUGCACUGAAGGAAAAUGGUUAACUACAAGGGGACUGAAAAAGAACAUUUUACUGCUAAUAAAGGCUGGUUUCGUCGUUUGCAAAGUCGGCAUGAAUUGAUUAAUUUUCUGCUCUCUGGUGAAGCUGCAAGCUCAGAUAAGGAUGCUACUGUGAAAUUUGCACAUUAUUCCAAGAAUCAUAGGCAGUCGUUGCUUUGUACAUUAGAAGACUACUGUGUAAAAACAUCACAGGGUUUGGCUGUAAUGUAAAUGGAGUUCUAGAAGAUACAGAUGACUGGGAAUGUUAACACUGCUGCUACUUCAAGAAGUAGUCUAGACAUACAGCCAGAAGAAUUUAGUGAAAGUGAACAUAGUUAUAAAGGAGGAAAGCCGUUGUGUGUUGUAAAGGAUGAAUACGUUUCAGAGGAAGUGCUGCAGGUGACAAACCACAUUGAAGGAACUCUC